UAUAUAUGUCUCUGCGAUGGGGAAAGUACUGCAGCCACGGGGACGGCGAUGAGGAUCGGCCGGCAACGGAGGAACGGCGGUGAGCUCGGCUGGUUCGGAUGGUGGUGGAAACGGAGCCUGCCCUCUUCAAAGCCUUCGGAGCCACCGCCGGAUACUUCUUUUUCCAAUCUCUCUCUCUCCCUUUAAUUUUCUAAUUUAAGAUUGCGAAUCAGAUUUCGAAAUUUCUCUGGUUUUCUAGGUUUUUUUUUUUUUUUUUUUUUGUUCUUCCUUUCUUGUAAAUUUCUAAGGAUUUUAUCUGAAAUUUGAAAGAAAGGUACGGAUUUAUUGAAGGGUUUAUGAUUUGCAGUAGUGGAAAAUCAUGGCAGAGGCUAACCCUAACAUCAUCAUCCAUCAGCGAUUUUCGUGGCCGUAGAAUCGUUGUUCAGAGGCGUCAAGCCAUACCCACAAUAGGAAAUUACCAACUUCUUAAUCCACCAGGUCUGUUGCUGCUCAAUCUCUCCCUCCUCCCCACCAUGGCCGCCGCCUCCUCCCACCUCCUCCCACUGCCCGCAACCAUCUCUCUCCUCUCUAAACCCAUCAACAAUAUACGCACAACCGGCCACCACCAUCGCUUUGCAAAACCGCCACCACCGUCCCCACACAUAAUCACACGAUUUAGGGUAUCCCAUUGUGUUUACCCUAACAUAAUUUUAAUUAUAAAGCAGAAAUCAACUAGAACAGUUUCAGACCUGCAAAGAUUUGCUCACAGAGUUGCUUCUCUUUGAGAAAGAAAAUUCGAACACAAAACUUGGCUGCACGUAUCCACUGUUUGAUCUUCACCUCCACCACUUGCCACUCCAACCUCCAGAGAUCUUCAAUGCUCAAUUUCUCGAUGCAGUCCAUCUCUUCCCACGGUUUGAUGCAGUCCAUGUCUGUUGUUAUAAGUUGGAGCGACUAGAGAGAGCUAACCUGUUAGGAAGACUAAACCAAGAAUUUUUUUUUGGGAACAAGAUAAUAAAUAUGAACUUCAUUUUUAUUUUUUAUUAUUAUAUAUAUAUAUAUAAUCCACCUCUGACUUUUUCAUUCUUCAACCUAUUCAAGCACACUUCAGUUCAUUCCAUUUCCAUAACUCUCACAACUCACAAGCCAUCACUAAAUUAAGAUAUGGUAAAAAUGAGUAGUAGCUCAUCCCAUAAGUAGCACAAAGGCGUACGUGGCCGGAAAUGGUUGUCGGAUAUACGAGUUCCGCGCACCAAAAACCGCCGCUGGCUCGGCUCCUACACGACGUGUAAGGCGGCCGCAGUGGCCCAGGACAUAGCCUCCUACUGCCUGUGAGGAACCUCUUUUGUGCAAAGUCUUAAUUUAUCAUCAAUGUUUUUAUAUCUAAAGACUAUAUAUAUAUAUACACACACACAUACAAAACAGAGGGCGAGCUCGGAACGACCCAUCCGGCAUAAGAUGGACCGCAAGCCCACUGCCGUUCAAUCCCGCCGAGUCUCCCUCUUGCCCGGUGGAGAAGUCGGUGGAACUGGCGGUGGGCGACGGGCUGUGGAGAAAUCGGCAGAACUGGCAGUGGCGACUUAGCUGCGGCAGUGGUCGACGGGCUGUUGGACUUCGGAUUGGACCGGCAAGUAAAGACAGCGGGUUCCGGCGAUGGAUGGCUGUGGAGAAGUGAACUGGAGCGUACCGGCGAAACUGGGUUUACGUCGGCAGGGAAACUUCCGUCCUGCAUCGCUGCCGAUUAGAAUCCUUGCUGGCCGACGUUGUACAUCGCUGGAGGGAUUGUUGGAUCAAACCCAGUUUCACUCUCUCUCCCUUUAUUUUUGUUUUUUUUAUAUUUUUUUUGAAUAAGUAGAAAUGCAACCAGUGAUGGCUUGGGUAUGGGGGUGGUGGAGCAGUGAUGUGGCGGCCGGUAGCAUAAUGGGUUUGUGAGUGAGUCAACUCAACAAAUUCGGGUUUGUGAUGUGAUUUUGAUGACACACUGAACUAACUCAACAAAAAGGUAGAGUAGAAAGAUAAAAGGCAAGUUAAAAAUUUUUAAUUUAUUUGUGUGGACUUGUCCUUCACGAAGUGCAUAUAUCAAGGAUAUUUUUGUACUUAACCCAUCUAAAUUUAAUAUCAAGGAUAAUUUUAUCUUUUUUAUCCUUUCAUAUAAUUUAAAGCCUGUUAUUGUCCAAAUACAAAUAACUUUUAUCAUAAUGUCGUUUGGUAACCCUAAAACAAAAAUGUAUGGUGCUGUCGGCUGCGGCCUAUAUAAACAGAACUGCCCUAGCGUAUAUCAAUCGCUUUAAGUUUCAAUGAAUUGAAUGAGUAGUAGUAAUAAAAGUUCCAGAAGCAUACGGUACUUUCCGGCCUCGAGAAAAACGACGAAGGGCAACCGUUCUCGUAGAUCGACCGCCGGAAUCGUAGCGUGGCAUGAGGUGCAGAUUGUUCAAGAGAUUAUACAAGAACUGGGUCAUAUAUAUCGUUAAAAGUUGCUAAGCACCAAUUGGGGAUAGAUUCCCGUCUCAACGAAGUGAUCACUUUGCUAGACAAUGGAUUAAAGGAUGUGCGCAUUGUGCGGAAUUGUGGAAUUGGCAGAAUAGUUAAGACAACUAUUGCCGAAGUAGUUCAGUCUCUUGAAUUUGUAAGGAAACAACUUCUUUAUAGGUGAUUGAAUAUUCCGUUGAAAACAAAUUUGGCAAUAGUUGUCUUUCCUAUUCCGCCAAUCCCACAAAUCUCCACAAUGUAGGAUCCUUUAACCUAUUGUAAAGCAGAGUGGUCACUUUAAAUUAUUUGUUUAUGGGAAAGGAGACAAAAAUAUCAAGACUUGCUAAGUAAACAAAGGUUGAUGCAUACAAGAAGUCGCAAGGGCUAUACUUGUCUAGAGGACAAAAUGGUAAGCGACACUUAUCAAUGUUUAUUGUGAUUGAACCAUAGUACUAAUAUGAAAAUGGUGUUAAUGAUUAAUUCAUGUUGGAUCUCAUUAUUUUGCUCAUAUAUAUUUUGUGAGCAGAAUUUUCAGUCAACAAAAGUGCCUAUUACUUAAACAGCCAUAAUUGACUUUAGAGAGGUUUGAACUCAUCACUGCUUGUUGCAUUGGAAAGUAGACUCACAGAACUUUCCAACCAUAUAUAGAUUACCUUCUAAUUCUACUUCAAAUGAAUUUGCAAUGCCUCAAAGUUAACCUAAAAAUGCUUUAUGAACUCUCUGAAAUUUGAAACCUUCAAAGUUAUUCCAUUUUAUAAGGCAUUCUGUUCCCCAAAAUGGGAUUGUCUUGCAGUGAGUCUUGCACGCACAUCUGACUUCUGCUAAAAUGGAAUUAAGAUGGUGGUCAUGCUGUAUUAAACUUAUCUCUUUUGCAUUAUAAUGUUAUUGACAUCGAGUGUAAAGAUUUUUUUAUUUACUAUUUGUGCACAAAUAUUGUUCUUGUGUAGAGAUUGUUUUUUGUAUUUUUUUGUUUGAUGCACCCGAUUGUAUCAAGAGUAGACGAUGGAUCAAAGGACACAUGAAGAAGGAUGGGAAUCUUUUGAGUGAUUCAAUAAGGGAGGCAAUGGUAACUAACAUAUCUUUCCUACCUAUUUUAUCUUUUUUAUUUAUUAAAUUUACAAUCAUGCUUUAUUCCAGGAAUUUCAGACACAAAUGCAAUUGUAUGACCUAGAAAAUUAAUGAAAAUUCUAUAGGUAGUUUGGUCAUUUAAGGCUCACAGCUGAAAGCUUUAAAUUAUUUUUUAACUCCCCCUUCUGACAUACCACCAGAUUUUGUUUGUGUUCCAAUUUUUUUUAUACUUGCUGCCAUCAUAUUUUUAAAAUACUCCUUUGGAAGGAUAUGUAAAUAUUUGGCAACCACCAGUAUGUUAAGAGCAGAACAAUAGCUUGACCCUUGAAGGUACAAUCAUCGCACUACUUUUGUUUCUCCCUUCAUUUUUAAGGUGCACCAUCUUAUAUUGAAAGUCGUUUGGUAUAUGGGACUUUUAUCACUGCAACAAGCAAUGAUUAGGGUUCCUCUUAUAUAUCCAAGUGGUUAGAAAAAGAAAAAAGAUGCUUUCACAAGGCAGUCUGAAUUCAUCAAUAAACUUGCUCAUUACUUCUUUGAGCUCUGUGUUUGUGCCUGUGAAAUGAAGAGGUCAUGUUGGUACCACUCAUCGAGGUCAUCACUCAUCAGUAGAACCAUUCUGUUAACAUCAUUGAUAAUUUUUAGAUUCAUUGAAAUUUUGCACUGCGAUAAAUUCUGCGGAGAGGAUGGGAUUGUAGCCUUGUUCCACAAUGGCUCUUGACUAGAUUGCUCAAUGUACUGCAACUCUGAUAUUUUAUCAUCUCAUGAACCCAAACAUCAUCAGUUUAUCACAAUGAAACAUAUUUAUGAGCAGAAGUACUGAUGUAUUUUAAUGCAUUUAGCAAUGUAAGUGUUUAUUAAGGUAAAUGGUAAAAUUUUCAAUAAGAAUUUUUAUAAUGGUUAAAAAUACUUUUAAUAUUUGUCACUAAGCAUCAAAAUGACUUUUUUUGUUUUGGAAGGAAUUUGAAAAUUGUAUUCAUCAAACUUAUGUUUUCUUUCAAAUUUCUUCUAAUGAAGUCCUUUAGAGGCUUUUCCAGAGCAGGAUUUUUGGUGUUAGGAAGCUUCUCCAAAUACAACUUGCCCCUCUCUUGUGCAUGUUUGUGUGUCUCCAACACUUGAUAUAAUCAUUUUUCAUAGAGAAUAUUAACUCUCGACUGGUUCACCUUUUUUUUUUCGUUUUCCCUUUCUCAUUUUCUUUGUGCUUGCUUUUUCUCAUCACAGAAUAAGAGAGAGAGAGACGAUGAUCAGCAAUAUCUGUUACCGGACACCAAGAAAUUAGAUUUUCACAAAGAAUUUUUCUUUUCUUUUCUAAUGAAUUUUGUACCCCUUUUUUUUUUAUAUAUAUAAAUUGUACUGGUUGUAUUAUUUUUAUAAGAUGUUUAGUCGUUAUGUCUUGUGGAACUACUGUAAAUUAGAUGCAAUAGUGGUCAGCAAUUCUUUCUCUUGUUUUAUGUUUUAUAUUAGUAGAAAAGAAAUGACAAAUAGGUUCAAAGAAAUAAUCUCUUGGUGAAACUGGAAGAUAUUUCCUUAUUGCAUCUGGACGGGGGCCCUGGGCAGAGGGACCAGAUAAUAAUAUAUGUGGUCUGUAUAUGCAUUUUGUAAUACUUGAAUGGAAUGACCCUGCACCUUCAGGCCUGUGCUGAGGGUCCUUUUAGGUGUAAUCAGAAAUUUAGAAACUGCCAAGCUGGUAGCUUUGGGAUGUUACAGACGUAAAAAAAUAUCCUUGAGUUCCUCUAAGGUUCUCUACUUCACCCUUAAUGCAACGGGUAUUAUUUACAAAUUUAAAGAUUAGAUAUUCCUCCAGGUUCUGUUUUUGCCUUUAGCGCCUAUGUGACCAUUCUCUACUUCAUCCUUCAUGCUACUGCUAUAAUUUACAAAGUUAAAAUUUAAAGAUUAGAGAUUAUUCCUGGCUCUGUUUUUGCCUUUAGCACCUAUGUAACUGUUGGGAAGUUUCUUUGAGAAGAGUAAUGACUUUACUGAAUCCGAACUAGGAAAAGAAAGGAAUGGGAUUGAGAUUGAAGAAUGUAUAUAGUGAUAGGAAUAAUCAGGAUUUAUAUCUAGUUUUCUGCAUUAGUAUUUAUUUUCAACUUUCAAAAGAUAAUAUCUUUUGAAAUGGACUGAAGUUUAGAAUGAAGUGUCCGGGAUAAUCCUUUGUUCCAUAGCCCUAGGGCUAUUUACAACUAGCCAAUUAAGAAUUCUCAGAUGUACUAGUACUAGCCAUGCAUCAAAGAUGCAAUCAUCGAUUCUCCCGAGAGGCCACAAUUAUCACGAGCAAACAUAUUAAUGACGAGGAACGCAUUUUUGUUAUGCUACUAAUACUUGUACUUGCUCUGCUAUUCUGCCCAAGCCUGGCCGAGGAAGAGUUACGGAGCGCGUAAAACAAAAAAAUACGUUGAUGGGGACCCUAAAAAAAAAGGAACCUUUCCUCUCCCCAGCCAUUUCGGGUUAAGAAGAUGUGAAAGCGCUUUUCUUUCUAUAAGAACGGUGCGUUCCGAGGUGUGAAGUGGUAGAUAAGGGAUGUCAUAAUUGGGGUCUUGAAUAAGACAACAUUUUGAAUUUUGAAUUUUGAAUUUUUGCUUGGCCAUACCACAUUAAGGAUAUUAGUUUGGUAGUGAGAAAUGACAUUAAUGUGUCACUAAUUUAUUAGAAGGUAAAAUGCCAAUAUAUAUAUAUAUAUGAACUAAACCUAAAUCUGCAAAUAACCCAUGAACUACAAUUGUUACACAAUACCCCCCCUCAACUAUCAAGUUUUGUUGCAAAAUGCCCCCUACCGUCAAUGUGCCGUUUAGUUUUGAACGACCCAUGCCCAUCACGUGAUGGGCUAUUUUUCUUUUAAUGACAAGAAUGCCCUUACAAGGGUUAAAAGUCAAUAAUACCCUUCUUUAUACCCAAAACUACCUAACUUAUAUAUAUACACACACACACAUAAAUGAUCUCUUGCUCAUCGGUGAGUAAGAAGUGAGUAAGAAAUUUAUCCGCACCAAGCAUGAUGAUUGUUGAAUGUGAUUGCUAUCUUAUUUUGGUAAUUAUUUUUUUAUCAUCGAAUGGUUACCAUGUAUGGUGCGGAUGAAUUUUUUGCUCAUUGGUAAGCAAGAGAUCAUUACUCUAUAUAUAUAAUUAGAAUCCCUAAUUCAAUUUACGGGAAUUAAAAAAACUUCCUAAUUAUCUUCUUCACUAAGUUGACCUUCGCUCUCACCUCUCUUCACUCUCUCCCUCUCUAUGAUGAGUCGAGAUUGGAAAUCUAUUGGUUUUAUGUGAGUUAGUUGUCGGUUGACAUUUGGCUGGCUGUCAUUGCCCAGUGGUUACCGAACAGUGAAUUGUCAUGGAUUUGAGAUGAGGUUUUGGGGGAAUGUUGUGGAGAUUUUUUAUCUAAGGUUUUUGGGUUGAAUGGUAUUCUAAUUUGAGAGAGAAAAACAUAGCAUAAUGGAAAAAAUAAAAUAAAAUUGUUUCCACAAAACUUACAUCAAAUCAAACAUAACCCAGUAAACCACCAUGCAUAUUGUUCGACAUGCCUGAUUCAAUUUGACCUAAUCCAUCUCAUCCAUUUAAGUGAAAAUUCGUCUUUUAAUAUUUCCGUUAACGGAAGGUGACGAGUAUGUCCUUGGUUGGAACAAAUCAAUAGUUCAAGAGGGUUCAGGGGUUUAUUUGCAAAAGCACAAUAUUUCAGGGAGGUUUUUGCAUUUCUCUUUAUUAGAUUGAGCAUUAUUUUAAUUAUAGUUUUGUGUUUUUUUGUGUGUUACAUAUAGAUUGAGCGGAACCAAAUCCUUAGGUAGAUGGUAUCUCUAUUUUGGUGUUUAAUCUAAUGUAACAAUAGUAAUGGUUUCUAUUUCUUUCUACAGGAGUGCCAUGGACUGAGGGUGAACAUAUGUCCUUACCUGGUUUGGAUGGGAGAGGAAUUUCAAAGAUGUAUGUGACCACAAGGACACCAACACAGGUGACUUGCCACAUACAAAUAUCUCAUCAGAUGGCAGCCAUCAGUACGUUAGGAGGUGUCGUUUUGCGGUGCUUACUAAGUUUAUUUUCAUUUUAUGAACUUGGAAGUGAGAAGUGCUAGCUUUUCGAGUUGGAUGAUAAUUGAACACUAGAUGGUGUUCUAUCAGAUUUUUUUAUUUUUAUUUUUUUCAUGUUGAAAGUUGAUGAAUGGUGAAAUUUUUUUUUAUUGUUUUGAUCUUACCAAUAGUGUGUUUCAAUGUAAAGUUGUUUUAGUUAUUAGCGUUAAAUUUAGAUUUGUUAGCCUUGUAUGGUGUUUUAGUUAUAAUUGUUGGCAUUACAGGUCUGUUGGUAGCAUUUGAUGGUUUGUUUUUUUAGGUGGGGUUUGGGUUAAAUCCUUAGGGUAUUUUUUUUUUUUUUUUUUUUGCGGCCACUAAGAAUGCAGUAAAUAAUUACAUACAAUGAGUUAAUAACAUCCUCUCUCUUCUCUUUAUUAUCA